rnacentral:lncRNA from 10 species
AGCCUGGCUAACAUGGUGAAACCCUGUUUAUACUAAAAAUACAAAAAAUUAGCCAGGCAUGGUGGCGUGCACCUGUAAUCCCAGCUACUUGGGAGGCUGAGGCAGGAGAAUCACUUGAACCCGGGAGGCAGAGAUUGCAGUGAGCCGAGAUGCACCACUGCACUCCAGCUUGGGCAACAAAAGUGAAACUCUCUCAAAAAAAAAAAAAAAGAACAAACAAAAGAACUAGUCCAUAUCUAGGUAACAGUGUUUGCAUAUUGGAACCAAUCAGUACCAAUCAAUCAUUUAAACGCUUCCUUAACUUAGGCAGGUCCCUUCUGUAAUUAAAAAAUAAUAAAACAAAACAGACAUAAACCUUUGGACGGCUGUUAUUUCAUCCUCCAAAGAAAUAAAUUUGUCAUUUGGUCAAUCUAGUAAAUCAGUUGAUAUAUGUGAGGGAUGCUGAUCAUUAUAAGUUCUAUUUAACUCUUCUAAAUUGAAUAUAAAUCAUAGAGAACAGUUAUUUUCACCAAAAGAAUGUAUAGGAAGAACUAAAUAAUAUACUGGAUAAUAACAAUGUAAUUAAAAUAUAUAUUGUAUGAGUAUCAGGAAAGCCUCCCAAAGUAAGUAACUUUAUUCUUGGAAUAGGAUUGCAAAGAGAAUAUGGUAGAGAAAAGCAAAUAAGCUUUCUCUCCCGCAUUUAAUAAAUGGAAUUUUGGUAUUCUCCAAUAACUCACAUUAAAGCUCUUAAUAUGUAAAGCUUCCAAAGAUCUUCUAUUUCUACAUUGUGAUAAUCUAACAAUAUUUGAGUCAAUUUUUGUUAAAUCCAUAUGACGUGUGGUUGAUACUCCAUGGAUGCAAA